CCAAUCGCAGCGAAGGAGCGCGGGUGGCGGGCGGUGGCGGCCCCGACCCGGCCCCAGCCCCCGGCUCGGACGUUCCCCCGCGCGGUUCCCGUGGUUCCAAAGUGUUCCCACGAGUCAGGUUUCACUUCGUGGCAUUCUGAGUAUGAAUGUUUUUGGACUUUAAUCCUUUUCGAUUGAACCAUACAGACUAAUUCUUCAGCGUACUCCUUAGAAAGAAAUGCAAAACUCGCUACGUCCGUAGAAGGAAACUUUAAUGGAAGAGGACAUCAGUUUAUAACAAAAUCCAUCAUAUUUUUUUUCCACUUUACCUUUUACAAUUAUUUCCAAUUAUUGAGUCAGUUACUGGGUGGUGGCUUUAACCUUUCUCUGUUUUAAAGUUCUCCAAUCAUUGUACCCACUUCAUUUAUGGCUUUGGGAUGAUACGAGGCUCAGAGGGUUUAUUUGUCUGUAGAUUUCUCAGCAAUUCUGGUCCAAGGAUACAUCACUUCUGCCAACAAAAUAGGUAUGGGUUAAUGUUCUUCUUUGGAGUAUGGCUCCUGAGAAAACAGUGCUGAGUUACAGGGGGUUUCUGUUCUCUGUGGGAUUUACUUUUGGGAUUUUUACUUCUAAGAACUGAAAAAAAUAAAAUGUCUCAUAGAUCUUUCUAGAUCACAGUCCACAGGUGAAAGCUGUAAUUUCAAUGAUACUUAUAGAUAAAUAUGCUAUGGGUAGUAUCAUCUAUUUGUGUCCUUUAAGUAGGAUCCCUCUUAAAAUUCUGAACCUCGGGUUUUAUCAGCAUUAAAGAAAUACACAAGAAACAUAAAUGUAAUAUGAUCUAUGUCUAUUAGCUAAAGUGAAGUGGAAUCUGCAAAAUCAUGAGUGGAACUUUGCUUGGUUGUAGCAAGAUAAAUUUAAAUUAGGCCUGCUGCUGUUAGAAUGAGGUACUUUCAGUUGUGACAUUCUACCAUUAGUAUUAAUAUGCAUGUUAAAACUGUGUUUCAGUUCUUUCCAUUUGUUCAUUGUUGAUAUUUGUCAAGGGGAAAUGUAAUUAGAUUACGUCUAGACAGCCCUAGCCAUCUGUCAUCCUUGUGACAGUUGACCUGGAUUCUGAAGUGACGCCGUUUAACUUUUGUGUCAGUCUGGUGCAGCCACAUGGAACUUCAUUUUAGCAGAGGAGGUUUUAUUGAGUUACGUAAUCAGUCUGAGCUGCAAAUGGAGCUACUCUUGUGUCAAGAAGAACUGCAAGGGCAUUUGUCUGCUACUGUGGAGGGCUGCUGCCAGUUUAGACCCGUGGGCUGAUCACAUAGAGCUGGACUGGGCUCUCUGCUGUUUACUUUCUAGUAGGCAAGGACACUAUUUCCAUUCCCUUUCCAUUAACUUUUAUAUUUUCUCCUUACCCCAUGUUUUAUUUUAUCUCUUACACAAACCUGUGUUGCCAAGGUUCUGGAAAUGCAAAGGAUUUGGAGAGAGGAACCUUUCAAGACCUCAUCGUAUAUGUGACAUGGGCAGCUGAGGCUGUGUACAGGUUCCACUGUUCCACUGCUGUUUGAGAAGGAGAUCUGCCAGAGUCCAGGUGCUCUCAAGGAGUACAACAACGCUGCAGUCACUGCUGGGACUCACUUACUGCAGCCGAUGAGCACAGUCUUCAAGAACAUCCAAACACCGAGAUCAGCUAUUUCAAAAGUCUGCACAACUGUAUCAACUAAGCUCUGCCUUGCUCAGACGGCAGUAAUUUUUCAGUUACCACUUGUAUGGGAAUUUGUGUUAUUUCAGAGCAAUAAGAAAUAUUAAAAUGUCUGCUGUAGUAUUUGUUCUGCUUUGUGCUGUUUGUAUGCAAGAAUUUAUAGUUAGGAGGAGGUCUGUUGCUAGUAUGGUCAAAUAAUGUAUUGAGCUACAGAGAGGUUUGUGGACAU